rnacentral:ncRNA from 2 species
GUGGUGCAUGGCCGUUCUU